rnacentral:rRNA from 1 species
AUUGAACGCUGGCGGCAGGCCUAACACAUGCAAGUCGAGCGGAUGAAGGGAGCUUGCUCCUGGAUUCAGCGGCGGACGGGUGAGUAAUUCCUAGGAAGCUGCCUGGUAGUGGGGGAUAACGUCCGGAAACGGGCGCUAAUACCGCAUAGGUCAUGAGGGAGAAAGAGGGGGAUCUUCGGACAUCACGCUAUUAGAUGAGCCUAGGUGGGAUUAGCUAGUUGGUGGGGUAAAGGCCUACCAAGGCGACGAUCCGUAACUGGUGUGAAAGGAGGACCGGUCCACCUGGACCUGGGACAGGGUCCAACUCCCUACGGGGGGAGCCAGUGGGGAACAUUGGACAAUGGGGGAAAGCUUGAUCCAGCCCUGCCGCGUGUGUGAAGAAGGUCUUCGGAUUGUAAAGCCCUUUAAGUUGGGAGGACGGGCAGUAAGUUAAUACCUUCCUGUUUUGACGUUACCAACAGAGUAAGCACCGGCUAACUUCGUG